rnacentral:rRNA from 1 species
CCUACGGGAGGCAGCAGUGGGGGAUAUUGCACAAUGGGGGGAACCCUGAUGCAGCGACGCCGCGUGGGUGAAGGAGUGCUUCGGCAUGUAAAGCCCUAUCGGCAGGGAAGAAGCAAGACGGUACCUGACUAAGAAGCCCCGGCUAACUACGUGCCAGCAGCCGCGGUAAUACGUAGGGGGCGAGCGUUAUCCGGAUUCACGGGGUGGAAAGGGAGCGGAGACGGCCAUGCAAGCCAGGGGUGAAAGCCCGGGGCCCAACCCCGGGACUGCCCUUGGAACUGCAUGGCUGGAGUGCGGGUGGGGCAGGCGGAAUUCCUGGUGUAGCGGUGAAAUGCGUAGAUAUCAGGAGGAACACCGGCGGCGAAGGCGGCCUGCUGGACCGCGACUGACGUUGAGGCUCGAAAGCGUGGGGAGCGAACAGGAUUAGAUACCCGAGUAGUC